GUCGGGAGUUAGGAAAUGUAAGUGCGCUAAUAUCGCAUUUAUUUGACGAAGGCUCCAAAGGAAGCCACGGCUAACUCUGUGCCAGCAGCCGCGGUAAUACAGAGGUGGCAAGCGUUGUUCGGAAUUAUUGGGCGUAAAGAGCACGUAGGUGGGUUUGUAAGUCAGAUGUGAAAGCCUUCUGUUCAACGGAAGAAUUGCAUCUGAAACUACAAGUCUUGAGUGUAGGAGGGGAGAGUGGAACUUCUGGU
rnacentral:rRNA from 1 species